UACGUAGGGAGCAAGCGUUGUUCGGAUUUACUGGGCGUAAAGGGCGCGUAGGCGGUGCGGUAAGUCACUUGUGAAAUCUCUGAGCUUAACUCAGAACGGCCAAGUGAUACUGCAGUGCUAGAGUGCGGAAGGGGCAAUCGGAAUUCUUGGUGUAGCGGUGAAAUGCGUAGAUAUCAAGAGGAACACCUGAGGUGAAGACGGGUUGCUAGGCCGACACUGACGCUGAGGCGCGAAAGCCAGGGGAGCAAACGGGAUUAGAUACCCCGGUAGUCCUGGCCCUAAACGAUGAAUACUUGGUGUCUGGAGUUAUUAUUGCUCCGGGUGCCGUCGCUAACGUUUUAAGUAUUCCGCCUGGGGAGUACGCUCGCAAGAGUG
rnacentral:rRNA from 1 species